rnacentral:misc_RNA from 1 species
GAUGAAGAACGCAGCGAAAUGCGAUAAGUAAUGAGAAUUGCAGAAUUCAGUGAAUCAUCGAAUCUUUGAACGCACAUUGCGCCCUCUGGUAUUCCGGGGGGCAUGCCUGUUCGAGCGUCAUUAUAACCACUCAAGCUCUCGCUUGGUAUUGGGGUUCGCGGUUUCGCGGCCCCUAAAAUCAGUGGCGGUGCCUGUCGGCUCUACGCGUAGUAAUACUUCUCGCGAUUGAGUUCGAUAGGUCUACUUGCCAGUAACCCCCAAUUUUUACAGGUUGACCUCGGAUCAGGUAGGGAUACCCGCUGAACUUAAGCAUAUCAAUAAGCGGAGGA